UACGUAGGGGGCAAGCGUUGUCCGGAAUCAUUGGGCGUAAAGCGCGUGUAGGCGGCCCGAUAAGUCCGCUGUGAAAGUCCAGGGCUCAACCCUGGGAUGCCGGUGGAUACUGCCGGGCUAGAGUCCGGAAGAGGCGAGUGGAAUUCCUGGUGUAGCGGUGAAAUGCGCAGAUAUCAGGAGGAACACCGAUGGCGAAGGCAGCUCGCUGGGACGGUACUGACGCUGAGACGCGAAAGCGUGGGGGAGCAAACAGG
rnacentral:rRNA from 1 species